UACGUAGGGACCGAGCGUUGUCCGGAAUCAUUGGGCGUAAAGAGCGUGUAGGCGGCCUUUUAAGUCCUGCGUGAAAUCCUGCGGCUCAACCGCAGACGGUCGUGGGAAACUGGAAGGCUAGAGUGCGGGAGAGGAGAGUGGAAUUCCCGGUGUAGCGGUGAAAUGCGCAGAUAUCAGGAAGAACACCCGUGGCGAAAGCGGCUCUCUGGAACGGUACUGACGCUGAGACGCGAAAGCGUGGGGAGCGAACAGG
rnacentral:rRNA from 1 species